GAUGAACGCUGGCGGCGUGCCUAAUACAUGCAAGUCGAGCGAACGGACGAGAAGCUUGCUUCUCUGAUGUUAGCGGCGGACGGGUGAGUAACACGUGGAUAACCUACCUAUAAGACUGGGAUAACUUCGGGAAACCGGAGCUAAUACCGGAUAAUAUUUUGAACCGCAUGGUUCAAAAGUGAAAGACGGUCUUGCUGUCACUUAUAGAUGGAUCCGCGCUGCAUUAGCUAGUUGGUAAGGUAACGGCUUACCAAGGCAACGAUGCAUAGCCGACCUGAGAGGGUGAUCGGCCACACUGGAACUGAGACACGGUCCAGAGUACUAAGGGAGGCAGCAGUAGGGAAUCUUCCGCAAUGGGCGAAAGACUGACGGAGCAACGCCGCGUGAGUGAUGAAGGUCUUCGGAUCGUAAAACUCUGUUAUUAGGGAAGAACAUAUGUGUAAGUAACUGUGCACAUCUUGACGGUACCUAAUCAGAAAGCCACGGCUAACUACGUG
rnacentral:rRNA from 1 species